UACCUUCCAAUAUGCUAAGAAGUGAGAC
rnacentral:piRNA from 1 species